rnacentral:lncRNA from 1 species
UUCCAUCGAGUGGUGGCAGCGUUCCUCCCUGUGUCCGUCGUUUGUAGAUGGUUCUAGGUCUCUCCUCGUACCAGCGUCUCCAAAUCUCACGCUCUCUCCUCCUCCCCAUCUCCAAUCUCGCACUCUCCUCUCCCAAAAAACCUCAUCUUCCCCGCUCGUCUGCAUUCUCGGCCAUCGGCGGCGCUCCAGAGUUCCAGGUAAUCGUGCUCCCUCCCCCGCCCUCCUCCACCCCAUCUGCUCCAUCCCACUCCGGUUUCCCAUUGCUAGGGUUUAGGGUAGACAUGGCGGCGUCGGCGGUGCCGGCUUUCCCAAUCGUUAGGCCACAACAAUGUGUUGCAUACGGUUUGUGCAUCCGGUAGUACUCGCUGUCCUCUUCCCUCACCUUGUGCGCCACGGACUCGGGGCCGCCGGGCGUCGUGGCCUCGCGCGGCUCCUGCUCCCGCGAGGAGGAGAAGGAAGACAACCCCCGGAUGCUUGCCAACGCGACCCACCGCGCCAGUGGCCUCUUCGGCGCCGGAGAACCGCGGCGGCCGGUCCGUGAAGUCGUCACUCGGCGCCUAGAUGUAUCUGCUGCUCAUCUCCUGGUGCGUCCUGCUCGAUCACACCCGUCACUGCAUUUCCGCCACCAGCUAGCACCGCCUGCUCGGCCCUAUCUCUCUCCUCUUCUUUACACCUCACCUCCGGAUCACUCAGAGAUUGAGCCGUAGCCCAACUGGUCGCCGCGUCCCUCGCCCCUCCCCUCGCGCGCAGCAGCAGAGCACCACAGCGAGCAAUGGAGGCGGUGGGCGUCGACCUGGCGCUGGGCGGCAUCGCCGCGUCCCUCCCCGCUCCCCCCGCGCGCAGCAGCAGAGCACCACAGCGAGCAAUGGAGGCGGUGGGCGUCGGCCUAGCGCUGGGCGGCCUACAAGUGCCCACCGGGAGAAAGAACUGUACUUCCUAGAGGAAUAACUCUAUCAGUGACAUGGGGCCAGUGGAAGAAAUUCAGGCAACAACAAUAUCUUUGCUGCACAUGAAAAUGGUAAUAUAACUGCAAGUUGGCAUGAGUUUUUGUUUUGGCAUAUCUUAGUUGCACAUAAAUUUGCUAAUCCGAUGAUACUAAGGAAAUCUAAUGCAGCAGCAACUGACUACAGCACGAUUAAUCAUAAAAUAGUAACUUAAUCAGAUAUGUCCUUGAUUACAUCAGCUUGCUAAAAAAUCCAUGGAAAAUAAGGGAAAUGGUAUUCAUGACCAUUCUAGUACAGAGUAUCGUCCUGUUGGCGAUCAUUGUGUAAUUUCGUUCUGAAAUGAGAAAAACAAGUAAACAACUGUGUUUCACUAAUGUGGUAAUUCUGCACUUGAUUUAAAAAACCUAUUAUAGCUUGAUGUGGUAAUUCUGCACCUUAUUUACAAAACCUGCUAUUGCCGAAAACAAUCAAGGAAUUCCCAGCCUUAAACUAGGGUAGCUAGAACACAAAGAGGGGGGGGGGGGGGGGGCAAUAUGUGUUUACCCUGCCUUCUGCACUGUUCUUCAUUCGUUCCAGCACACGCUCAAACGCUGGUUUCCCAGUAGUCUCUCCAAGAGCAGCUAUAAGAUCAGCCCUCCUUGGGUCAAGCAAGGCCCCAAACGCAGAACCAAGUGCAACAGCUGCCUGUUGCCACCCCUUCAGCUGCACACGCGCGCCAAGCAUGGCUCUACACGCGCCGAGAUGCUUGUAAUUGGAAUACAAAAUUGCUUGGAUUUGGAUGCUGUCCAAACGAAUAGUGUGUGUAUUUGAUGUAUUAUACGACGUAGUUCUAAUUCCCUCCUUUUGUUAAAUGAAAAUGAACUGUAUUUAGAGUCUUCUAAGUCACUGAUAAGAGCAAUUGCACUUGAGUCUUUUGUCAGUGUUUGUCCACAUAAUCAAGAUGAUUAAGACGCUGGAAAACAUUAUGUCAAUCCUUUCCCAAAUACGCUAACAAUAAUCUUAUUCCUGAGUCAUAAUCAAGCAUGAGAAGUGAAACAGUAUGCAUAAAUAUUAGAUCUGUAAGCAGUGCAGACGCUGGAUCAAUCAACCUUUGUUAAAUUCAGUAGAUGGGAUUGUGAUCCGUACAAGUCUACAAGGUAAUUUGCUUCCACCCAAAAAAAAUGUCGCACUGUUUCUGACAACACAAGUCUAGAUAGAGUUAGGAAGUAUGCAGCCUCCAUGCUUUCUGCUUCGUGAAUCCUGUUCAGUAGCCUUCCUUUCCCAGCUUCCUGCUCGGUGACAUCUGGCAGCUUCCAGACACAGUACCUCAGCCUGAGCGUUAACGGACUCGAGCAAGAAGAUGCCAUCCUUCAGCAGGGUCAUGUAUUUUUGGUCUGCUAUACUUUUGUCGUCGCUGCCAAUUUCACCAUGUCCUAUGAGCCCGGUGACAUCUCAGGCGCGUUUCGCUUCAUGUUAUCCUAAGAAUUGCAAAAUUAAUUGAGAAUUGAUGGCAUAGCAUAACUUCUCCAUAAAUUACAGUGGGUUAUGAGAUCGUUAACAUAUACAUAAAAAAACGGGGUGCUCUUUGUUAGCUUCCUGCUCCUGCGUAUAACAUACUAAUUUCGCUAUAUAAUAUGUUUGUACCUUGACUGCGGCAGCUACUGAUUUUGAUUUUUCUUCGUAACAGGCCAGGAGAAGCUAGAGUUACAAAUCGUAGUCCGUGAGAACCAGUUGAAUUUCAUCAAUCUUAUCAGGUCAUCUCAAGUUCAGUGACUCUCAACCAGGUAUUUAAUCUAUCAGUUCAUGCACAUAUGUACAAUUGCGACUCCAUUUUUAGUUUAAAUUAUGAAACAUUGUAUGUGUUCCUGUGCAAUUGUGAUUCCAUUUUUUCGUUAAAAAUAAUUAAACACUACAUGUGUUCCUUGUUUUGCUAAUACAGCAGUGUAUAUUUAUAUACCGAAAGAUCACUAUAUACUUGAUCUAGGUAUAUAUACUUACGUAUUCUUAGAAAAAAACGCAGGUUCAAAACGUGAAACGUUCCAAGUUGCUACAUUAUUAGUAUAUAAAAAUUAAUAUCGCUGAUCCAGAAUGGAACAUGUUAUUCCAAGCACCACAAAGAAGAGAAGUAAGCGCCUUCAUACCCUGUCUACAGACAUCACUUGAGUCUAGACGGAAAAAAUAUCAUCCAUGAGUUGUUAUGCUCAUACAAAAAUUUAUCAUGCCAGAACAAAUCAGUACAUGUUGCGCCCCAUCGUCUGUACCUCCUGUGGAAGCUCGUCGCAUACGUAGACAAUUGUUGAAUGAGCGAAGGUUAACAUCCUCAGGUAGCGUGAUCAUUUACCUUUUUUUAAAUAAAAAAGGAGACUGCAUAGGUACCUAGUGUUAAUAAGAUAAAUACACUAUGUUAGGUGCAUUUACAUCCUCUCAACGGGCCUCAACAUUACAAUGUGGUCACUUCGACCCAAAUUUUAUUAAAGCACUCAAAGGUACGUCUAAUUCUGGAUAUAAUCUAUUUUUAAAUAAACUGCAAUUACUAGCUGCACCUAAUAAAAAUUACGCAUUAAAAAAAAGGUGAACACUACACUUAAAAAAAGUUUAUAAGUUUGCACAUAGAGGUGGACGAGAAUAAAUGGAGAAUAUAUUUUAAAGUAAUUCUUAAAAAAAAUACUUGCUAAUACUACUUUGUCUAAAUGAAAUGCAGCUUCUUACCAUGCUCGAUCUUACUAUGGACCGCCAUGCUACCAAUGUACACACUGUUCUGCUCUUUUCUGGUAUAAUGAAAGAAUAGGAUCGUCAAGUGGAAAUCGAUCAAUUGUUUACAAUAAUUGUUGCAAAAGUGGCAAAGUCCGUCUUCCUCCUUACAGCCCUAGACCUGAACCACUGUUAUCACUAGCCCGGUUUGAUGGCGAUUCCAUAUCUAAAUCCUUCAUGCAAAAUAUCAGGCAAUAUAAUUGCUUGUUUGCAUUCCCAUCUAUGGGAGCGCAUAUUGAUAGAUCCAUGAAUGAUGGUCAUGGUCCUCCAAUCUUUAAGAUAUGCGGCCAAGUCCACCAUCGAAUAUGAUCAUUACUGUCACUAAAUGAUCAACCUUCCAAGUUUCUUCAACUUUAUGUGUACGAUACAACACAUGAGGUCAAUAAUCGGAUAAACUCUCUAUCCACUGCUGAUGGUCCUACCUCUUCUAUAAGACAAGAUAUUGUACAAGAAUUAUCAAAGAUGUUGGACGAGCACAAUCCCUUUGCUAAGAAAUUUAGGCUUGCCAGGGAAAGGCUUAAUGAACACACAAAUGAAGAAUUUAUCAUCAGAAUUAUUGGGGCUAGAGAAGGAGAUCCUGUGCAGUACAAUAUGCCAACAACCGAUGAUUUAGCCAUGCUUGUUAUUGGUGAUUUCUCACUUGAUACCUUCAAACGAGACAUUAUUAUAGAGACAAGAAAUUUGGAAUUGAGGCGUAUUUCAUCAUUGCAUCCAGCAUAUAUGGCUCUCCAAUAUCCACUUCUGUUUCCAUAUGGAGAGCGUGGGUUCCAAGUUGGUGUAGCAUAUAGUGAUACAAGGGUUAGAGGAACAAAUUCAAGGGCUCAUAUAACCAUGCAAGAAUACUAUUGCUAUCAAUUUCAUUACAAGGUUGGCCAGCCAAAUCCAUUUCUGUCUUAUGGGACACUAUCAAACUAGGCUACAGUUGAUGCUCGUGCCUGUAUUGAUGAAAAUAGACUUAUGUAUAUUCUGAAUAAUCAAGACAAAUUACGAAUAGAAAACCUUCAAGGCAUAUUAGAUGCUGUUAGUAAAGGCUGCAUAAACGGUGACGAAAUGGGAAAAACAAUCGUACUUCCGGCGUCACACAUUGGUGGACGACGAUAUAUGAUACAAAAUUACCAUGAUAGCAUAGCCAUCUGCAGAGUCCAUGGUCCACCCGACUUUUUUGUAACAUUUACAUGCAAUGCAAAGUGGCCUGAAAUUGUAGAUGGUCUUCAACACUCUAGCCAAAAAUCUUCAGAUGCACCUGAUAUUCCUGUAAGAGUAUUUCAUAUGAAAUUGGAAGAGUUGUUACAGGAUAUAAAAGGUGGUAAUAUAUUUGGUCCUUGCAAAGCAGGUGCAAAUACAUUUUACUAUGUUUUCAUGAUGAAACUAUUUAUCAUUGCAAAUCUAUUUCAAUUUCUUAUUUCUUUCAUUCCUCUUCCCCGCUCCCUAUCUACAAUUGCUGCAUACUAUAAAAUUCUAAGGAAUCUGUUUUCAUUUAUGAUUCUACCGUAUUUUUAGUAUACCUCCAUAGAUUUUAGAUGUUUAUUGUAUUGCAUACAAAUAGUGCAUACGUGUAAAUUCUACUAUCAACUUUGGUAAUAUUUAACAUAUAUUACUUUUGCUUAUUUAAAAGACUGUACCCUGGUCUGUAAAAAUACUACUCUUUCCAUACUUUAAUAUAAAAUAAGUUGUUGAUAAAACAACCGAGUUAUGCUGGGCCACGUUGGUGUUUUAGAGGUAACGACCAAGUGGUGCUUGGCGAUGUCGACGUCUUAGAGGCAACAACCGAGUUAUGCUAGGCCACGUUGGCGUUUUAGAGGUAACAGCCAAGUGGUGCUUGGCGACGUCGGCGUCUUAGAGGCAAUAACCGAGUUACUUUGGGUACGUCGGCGCUUUAGAGGUAACAACCGAGUUAUGCUGGGCCACGUCAGCGUUUUAGAGGUAACAAUCGAGUUAUGCUGAGCCACGUCGACACUUUAGAGGUAACAGCCGAGUUAUGCUGGGCCACGUCGGCACUUUAGAGGUAACUGCCGAGUUAUGCCUGGAAAUCUCGUCUUUCCCGAGUGAUGACUUAGCACUUUUUAGAAACGUGUCCAGCCCGAGAAAACCCCAUCUUUAUCACGUCGUCGCAUUCCUUUGUGUUUUGAGCCCUAACUUCACCUUUCUGCCUCAAGCCAUACCUCUGUUUCUCUCUGAUUUUGCUUCUGUUCAAUCCGCCGACGAGAUUGCGAUGGCGCCCAAGCGGAAGAACUAGAAUUCUGUUGUGGUAGUGAUCCCUCCCAUCGACCCCAACAACCAGUUGCCCUUCGUAGGUAACCAUAUGUCUGUUGUCUCUUAAUCGGAUCUCCUCCGUCUUGUCGAUGUUGGAGUUCUUCCUCCGAAGGAGCUUUGUUCUUGGCGGAUUUGCCGUGGGGUCACUGUUCCGAUAGAAGAUACCCACGAGUCCGUUGUUUAUGUUCCACCCCACCCCCUCCACCACAUUCCGAUUCCCAUUGCUAGGGUUCGUCGUGUUGGGGUUGGAGUAGACACGGCAGCGGCAGCGACUCUUCCCCCUCCCCCCUCGUACGUUUUUUUCUUGCUAGGGUUUGACUAGGAAUCCUCAUGCUGCCAUUUAGGGUUUAGGGUUCGUCGUUCGAUUUAUUCCUUCACAUCUCGCGCUCUCUCCUCUUCCCCCAAAACUCCACCUCCCCCCGCUCGCCCGCGUGCUAUACUUCUAGAGUCCUCUCUCUUUCUAGCGAAAAGGGGAGCGGUUUGAUUCCACUCCGACGACGUGACGACAGUAGGUCCAUGGCUUCCCACCUUGCUGCAUCGUCCGACCAGCCGAGCCGCUAAUUUCUUCUUGCCUCUCGAUUCUUCUUGCAUGUGUCGCCUCUCUCGUUGUCCCUUCUCGCCUACGUAUGGAUGUGCUUCAGUACAUCUUAUUUCAGUUUUAUAUUCAUUGAAUUAUGUGCUUCUGUACUCGGUAUGGAUGUUUUCAAUGGAAAAAAGCGGCUUUUGUUCUUCGGAUUUUUUAAUCCUUCCUCGUAGCCAAUAUUUCUAGCAAUGGUAAUACCAUUCAAACUGCACCUAGAGGAAUGUAAUUGAUUGCAUUAUGCCUUCUGAGGAGCUUAGAAGGCUUACGCCAUGUCAAACUGCUUUAGCACUGACGAGGAGAGACAGACCUUUGUUGUUUCUGUUUCAGAAAAAGAAGCAGCAACAACAAUCUGAACUCUGAAGAGUUGCUGUUGCUUAUGUGCUAACCGAACAAUGAAAAAAGAGGCAUGGAUUAAUGAACCACCUAGGGACAAUGCAAUCAAUUACAUUCUAAAGCUCUAGGUGCAGUUUGAAUGGUCCAUGAAGCAUCAAUCAACUUAUUAGUAAAAUGGCAUUGGCUUAAUGUGUGGAGUGCAUCCAUUUAAUUGCUUUCAUGAAUUACUGUGAUCUUUGAGAUCUGUCAAACUCAUAGCUUUACAGGUGCUACAGAUGGUAAAAAAAGAUUCUAUAGGAAAAAAUCUAGAAAAUAACAGCAUGGUUAAAUGUAUUUAGAAACAAAUGGAGAAAAUCUUUCUAAACAUGAAACUUGAAAAGCAGGGAAAUUUUCAGUAUGAUGCUAUAUCUCAAGUAACUGGAAGUUAAAACUGUUGAUGUAACACUUUGAACAAAAGGAGCAUUUUCAAAAUGCAGACUUCUUAUAUGAUUAUUUGCACAAUACAAAGGCUAACCUGUAUCGGUCACACCAUUGGUAGUUGUCCACGGAUUUAACUGCCACAUUUCAGGUUACUGCUUUGCAUUCCUUGUCCAUAUGAUGGCAGUGUGGAAGUGGAGGAAACAAAUGGAGCAAACAGUGUGUCCUGCACUGGAGAGCUCAUAGCCAUUCAGCCAUCAUAGAGAAGUCCCUUCAUCAAGUUAAUAAAUCUCUGUGAAAAUUAUGUAAUUAUGUUACACCCUUCGCAUUAUGAGAAACAUCACAAUCACCCCUGUCAUUGCCAAUGUCCACCCCUGUCAUUGCCAAUGUCCAAAAUGCAACACAACUUUCCAUCUGGAACAAUGCCUGCAUGACGCAUACUCUCGUACAUCAUACAAGCUUCCUUCUCAUCCCCAUUUUAAGGUAUCCAAAAAUGUUAAUAAGGAAGAAAGUGGAAAUAGGUGACUUACACUAUGAAGGCUUACGUAUCAAGGUUUCCAAUAUCGAUAGUGUUCCAAAAUCAUCUCUUCUAUCAUUCUUCUUUAGUCGUCGUGUUCUGCUCCGCGAAUCGCUGUCUGUGUUGCUGCACUUUUAUUUUCGCUUCGUUACGUUGUCCAUCCAUGAGCUAAACCGCAUUGGAGACACAGAUGAAAUGCUGUCAUGCAUGUUGUAUCUUCUUCGUGCUGACUUAGCGCUGCUUUGUCAGCUUUCAUAAUAAGAAAAUUUCCUUUUUGUCAUAUUUCUGACUGCUUCAAAUUUUGUAUUAUAUUUUUUAGAAAAACUGUGAAUCGCUAAUAUACCUGCCUUUUUAUUUAGCCUACAACGACGGAAAGGAAGUUGGCACCUUCAAGGGUCCUCAAACAUUGCUGCACCGGACGUUGUGUCGUGUAUCAUUGGUAAGAGUACUUUUGAAAUUCUAGAUGCUAUUAGUUUUCUGUAAGCCGUUUUAUGCUUACUAAAGUAUGAUCUAAAUCUAGCUGUUUGAUUCCUCUUUGGGAUCCUUUUUUUUCCUUCAGCAACGUGCUUUCAUGUUCCUUAAAAAUGAUUUUCUGGUUUUGAAGACUAUGUAUAGUUUCAUACAAAUAAAUACCUAUUAUGCUUGAGAUAGCUUCAGCUAAGAGUUCCUCCAUAAGUGUGCAUUCAAACAUUAAGAGAACAUUUUGCAUGAAGCAUACUUAUCAUCAGUUCUGAAUGAAAUCCUUUUAUCUGCUAACUAUAAGUUUUCUAUAUGCUAACUAUAAGUUUUACAACGCUAAAUUUUGAUUCUUAUAUCAGUCAUGUAAAUUAUCUCUUCUAGUCACCAUCCAUUAUGAUAUGGAAUCUACAACACAAGGAUGCAUAAAUAUGACAUCUUCUGGUUUUAGGACCUUAGAUCCUUAAACAAAAAAAUCAAGAAAAUGACUAUGUAUAAUUUAAAGUAAUUUUUUCAUAGGUCAUGUUCAUCACCAAAACUGCAUGUGCCUGUCAUAUCUGACAAAACAAAUACAUAUCUAAGAAUACAAGAGUUAAUCUACAUAGCUGUACAAGAAGAAUGAAUGACUUUGCGACUCCAUUUUUUCGUUUAAAUUAUGAAACAUUGCAUGUGUUCAUGUACAAUUGUGAUUCUAUUUUUUCGUUAGAAUUAUUAAACACUGCAUGUAUUCCUUGUUUUGCUGGUACAUCAGUGUAUAUUUAUAUACCGAAAGAUCACUAUAUACUUGAUCUAGGUAUAUAUGCUUACGUAUUAUUAGAAAAAAACGCAGGUUCAAAACGUGAAAGGUUCCAAGUUGCUACAUUAUUAUCGCUGAUCCAAAAUGGAACAUGUUAUUCUAAACAUCAUAAAGAAGAGGAGUAAGCGCCUUUGUACCCUGUCUACAUACAUCUCCUGAGUCUAAACAGAAAAAAGUAUCAUCCAUGGAUUGUUAUGCUCAUACAAAAAUUUAUCAUGCUAGAACAAAUCAGUACAUGUUGCGCCCCAUCGUCUGUACCUCCUGUGGAAGCUCGUCGCAUACGUAGACAAUUGUUGAAUGAGCGAAGGUUAACAUCCUCAGGUAGCGUGAUCAUCGACCUUUUUUUUAAAAAAGGAUACUGCAUAGGUACCUAGUGCUAAGAAGAUAGAUAUACUAUGUUAGGUGCAUUCGCAUCCUCUCAAUAGGCCUCAACAUUACAAUGUGGUCACUUCGACCCAGAUUUUGUUGAGGCACUCAAAGGUACGUCUAAUUCUGGAUGUAACCCAUUUUUUAAAAUAAACUGCACUUACUAGCUAUACCUAAUAAAAAUUUACGGAUUUGAAUAAAAACAAGGUGAAUACUGCACCUAAAAAAGUUUAUAAAUUUGCACAUAAAGGUGGACGAGAACAAAGGGAGAAAAUAUUUUAAAGUAAUUCUUUUAAAAAAAUACUUGCUAAUACUACUUUGUCUAAACGAAAUGCAACUUCUUACCAUGCUCGAUCUUACUAUGGACCACCAUGCUACCAAUGUACCCACUGUUCUGCUCUUUUCUGGUAUAAUGAAAGAAUAGGAUAGUCAAGUGGAAAUCGAUCAAUUGUUUACAAUAAUUGUUGCAAAGGUGGAAAAGUCCGUCUUCCUCCUUACAGCCCUAGACCUAAACCACUAUUAUCACUAGCCCGGUUUGAUGGCGAUUCGAUAUCUAAAUCCUUCAUGCAAAAUAUCAGGCAAUAUAAUUGCUUGUUUGCAUUCACAUCUAUGGGAGCCCAUAUUGAUAGGUCAGUGAAUGAUGGUCAUGGUCCUCCAAUCUAUAAGAUAUGCGGUCAAGUCCACCAUCCAAUAGGAUCAUUAUUGCCAGUAAACGACCAGCCUCCCAAGUUUCUUCAACUUUAUGUGUACGAUACAACACAUGAGGUCAACAAUUGGAUAAACUCUCUAUCCACUGCUGAUGGUCCUACCUGUUCUAUACGACAAGAUGAUAAGUUGGGUUUAUUCUUGAAAGAGUCACCUUCUUGGAUCAUGAAUUCAUGAUGCAUUAGAUAGAUGAUAAGUUGGGUUUAUUCUUUACUACUUGAUUAUUUCUCGAUUUUUAUGUACACUGUGAUCUUCUUUUGUUGAUUGAGGGUCCCUAGUAUUUGAAAUUGUCCACUUGGUAAUUAGUAGUAGUACACACCCAUCUGUUAAGUUGUCAAAAACAGAUGGUAAAAAAGAACAAUGCUUAACCAGUUAAUCAGCACGACAUCAUAAAAGAAUAGCUACGGAAUAACGUGAGUAUAAUAUUGUUGAAAGAAGCAGUUGGUAAAGGCACUCGCCCGCAAUAGCAGGAGCUUGUUAUUUCUAGCUCUAAGACGAUCUCUUCUUCAAUAAUUUUGAAUUUUCAGCAAUGACUUAUAAUAUAAUUAGAUCAAUACGACAACCUCACAUGAACCUAAAAUACGUGUAUAAUACCCGUUUUUGAUCAGGAUGUAGCUUUUCACUCUUUUUCUAUUGAAAUAUAAAAUAGAGUGAUUGAAUUUAUCUUACAAAUUAUUGUUAGAGCUGUCCUAAAUAUGUUAUUAUCUCAUGAAGCUGAGUCUGAAAAAAGACUAUCCACACCAGGGCACCAGACAAAGGCAGCUCUCCGAAUUUCAGCUGCACAUACUCAUUCUUUUCAACCAUCUAAGUUAACUUACACUUUUUCUUUUAAUCACAGAAUGUUGACAAAAAUACAGAUCAGCUGACCAACAAUGAAUUUUCAUCACCACCUAAGAAGUAUAUAUGCAAAUACAUUAGUUAUAAAAUGAAAACAAAGCAUGCCUUUUAGGCUUACAACUACAACUUUUAUUCCAUAUUAAUAUAAUAUACACUACAUGCAGAAUGAAGCACACCUAGGUUAGCAAAGGCAUGCCAGAUUCUACAUGUUCCAAGAAUGACAACAUUUAGUCCAUCCUGAAAUACAUCAAGGUAUGACACCAUUUUACUUAGCUAAUUAGUUAAGUGUCUAUGUUCUUCAAACUUUUUUCAGUAUUUAGGGUUUCCAUGGUUUUAGCUUUUCAACCUAUUUCUUAGUUUCUAUGCUCCAUUCUAAAACUUGUAUACUACACAUAUUUCAUUUGGCCACCAAACAUUGAAGUUCUAAGAUGCCACUAUUUUACUUUGCACAUAGACUGAAUGUCUCUGUUCUUCAAAAUUUGGGGUAGCUGUACGUAAAGCUGUACGUAAAGCUGCAAUGUAUUCAGUAGUUGCAGUGUGUUAACCAUAAAUGAUUUUUCGGGGUAGCUAUAUGUAAAGCUGCAAUUUCAAGGAAUACAGACGCAACUAUUGAAUUUAAACUUGCACCUUAAGCCACAAUCGUCUCAUAUAACCUAGGUGAUUCACACACAGCUGUCAAUAUUCAAGUCGUAUUUAUAUCUGUAAUACUUGCAAAAUCCAAAAUAAUAUUGCACAUAUGUACUCUGGAAAAACAGAUGGACAAGAGAUUGUCAAAUAGAGCUGACCUUGUGACACAUUCCAGUGCAAAUAGCAACUAAAUCAGCACAAUUUCAUUGUUAGCAUCACAAAAGAGUUAUGCAAAGGGUGCAUGUUGGGGCGAAGGCAAAGACGCCACCCUUCGCUCGAGGCCUUCGCCGCAGUCGCUGGUCUGACAGAGACAAAACGGGCAGGGACACCCUUCGCUCCAUUCGGCACCAGACGAAGGCCUGCGGCGACGCCUUCCCGCGGCGCGGCCUCGUUCAGUUCUGAGGCCCACGUGUGAUCUGGCCCAUUGUAACGGGCCCUGCGUGACCGCCUUUGUGUUACGAGCCUAAUUUGUAAAGGCAUGCUUGUAAUUACAGCUUGUAACCCUGCUUUAUGGGAAUAUUCUGGGAAUAAACUAGGUGUCUGAGGGCACAUGCGUCCUUAACACGAGGCGCUGGGCACUCAGAUACCUAUAAAUACCCCCGCACAGUGCCCGUGAGAGGCUGGAUUAACAGAGCUAUUGCCCCCGAGCACGUAACCCUGUUGUCACCACUGUUCACCCUUGUUGGCCUCCUUGCUGCUGAGAGCAAGUUCCAACAUUUGGCGCCCACCGUUCGUGCUACGACAAAACCACCCGCGAUGGCACCCAAGAGAGCUAACCCGAAGGCUGACGAGGCUGCGAAGGCAGCACUGCUGGCCACAAGAAAGGGCAAGUCCCUCGUCCUCACCCAAUCCACCCACCAAGAGCCCACUGAAGACAAUGUUCCCCACACCGGCGAAGACGACACCUUCCGCACCUGCGGAACCGAAGGACAAUCGCAGCCGCCCCCAGGCUUCGCCCCACUGGAAGGCGCGGACCUCACCGAGGACGGUGAGGUCCUCGGCGUCUCAACAGAAGAACAGCUACAGCUGCGUGCCCUGCGCCUCAAGAACCGCAAUCUCCAGAGGCAGAAAGAGAUACUGAAGGCCAAGCGCCAACGUGUGUCCGCACUAGCCAAGGUGCGGCAAAUGAUACGCGACGAGGAGCAGAAGGCCCAAGACCUCGAGCGCGAGAUCGCGCUGAUGCAGCGCGAAGGCCACCUCGGCCUGCAGCAAGAGCCACCCCUCCAGCAGCGUGCGCAACUGGAAGACACGCGCGAAGGCCACCUUAGCCUGCAGCAUGGCCCACCCCUGCAUCACCGGGCGCGGCCGGAGAGCCCGCGUUUCCCCCAGCGCGACCACACCUUCCAGCACGGCGCGCCAUUCCAAGGAGUCAACUACCUCGACGAGCGAAGUCCCCUGGCGCCACACCUGCAGGUGACGCCUUGGCCAGCUAACUUCCGAGCGGGGACCUAUCCCAAGUACAACGGCAGCACCGACCCGGCGCAAUACAUAAUGAGUUAUCAGGUCGCCGUUGCAUCCGCCGGAGGGGACGACGCCACAAUGGCGAAGUCUUUCAUCAUCGCCCUAGAGGGCCCAGCACUCACCUGGUUCACCAGAUUGCCUCUGCUGUCCAUUGAUUCGUGGAGAAGUCUCAGGGACAAGUUCCUGCUCAACUUCCAAGGGUACCGCCCAGACACCGACGCCUUGGCCGAGCUCUCGCUUUGCAAACAGCUGAAAAAGGAGACUCUGAGGGAGUACUACCGCAAAUUCUUAACACUCAAGUCGCAGCUGCCCUCUGUCGAUGAUCAGAUCGCUAUCCACUACGCCAUCAGCGGCCUUCGGGCCGGCGUCCUCUACAGCCACUGUAUCAGAGAUCCACCCAAGAGCUUGCAGGAGCUAUAUCAGCUCUUCGAAAAAUAUGCCAAAUCCGAAGAGCUCCACCAGCGCAAGGUUGAGUCACAGCGGAAACCCAAAGAUGCCCCGCAGUCCAGCCGCAUGUGGACGAGGACUCCGCAACCAGACUCCGGUCGAGAUGGCCGCAGUCAGCAGCAAGUGCACAACAUCGCCAACCAGCAGCCUGCUGCUGACCCCCCUCGUCGCCAAGAAUAUCCCCCCAGGGCCGCGGAAAUGGAACUCGUGGCAGGGGCCGAGGACGCGCGCAGCCGCCGCGCCGGUUCUACUGCCUUUUCCACGGCGAAGACUGCGCCCACCAAACCAAAGACUGCCCCGAGACGAAGGCAACCAGAGACAGAAUGGCGCGGGCGCAGCCAGCCGACAAUCCCAGAAUUGUCGCGCAUAAUUACCAGCCACCCCCUCCACCAUAUAUCCACGCUCCCGCUCCGCAUCCACCGCACCACGCUUACCAACACCAUCAGGAAGUACAAAUCGUACCUCCUCCACAACCACCACCACACCAGCAACAUCAAAACAUCCCCCAUGCCCCAAAGCAGGAAGACUUCGCCGAUCAACCAUAUCGCGGAGUCAUUCAAAUGAUAACAGGGGGGUCCAGCACCGACUUCGACACCAAGCGGCAGAAGCGGGACCACUACCGCAGCAUCAACCAUGUCGCCGUCACUGGCCCAGUCGUGCAGACGAAGUGGUCCCACAUACCGCUAACCUUCGACGCACGAGACGUCGACCUGCGCAGCGCCCCCCACAUCGACGCUAUGGUCAUCAAUUGCAGCGUCGCAGGCUGGGACUUACACAAAGUCCUAGUCGACAACGGCAGUCAGGCGGACAUCAUCUUCCUCCACGCCUUCGACCGCAUGGGUAUAAGCCACAGCUUGCUGAAGCCUUCGGACAACCCGUUGUAUGGUUUCGGCGGCAAGGGCACCUUUCCCGUUGGCAAAAUAGAGUUGCCCCUCUCCUUCGGUGUAGCACCCAAUGCCCGAAGUGAGCAAGUAACCUUCGACAUUGUCGACAUGGUAUAUCCAUACAACGCCAUCAUGGGCCGGGGCUCCAUCAAUAAGUUCGAAGCUGCCAUCCACGGGCUGUACCUAUGUAUGAAGAUACCAGGUCCGCUAGGCGCCAUUACAAUCUACGGCAACCAGCAGACGACGCGCAACAUAGAGCGGGACUUCGUGCCUGGUCAGAGGAAUGUACACUGUCUCACGACCCAGCGCGAGGUCCCCGCGCCCGCCAGCCCAACCGAUAAGCAGCACGACAAGGCACAGUUGCAGAGCCAAGACGGGACCAAGACUGUCCCCCUCGAUCAGGCCACGCCCAAGCAGACAGUAACUAUCAGCGAAGACCUCACCUCACUUGAAGAAGAGAAACUUCUCUGCUGCCUGGCCAAGAAUAAAGAUGUCUUCGCCUGGUCCGCCCUCGACCUGGUCGGAGUCAGCCGAUCCAUAAUUGAGCACAGCUUGGGAAUUGACCCUUCGGUGCGACCCAAAAAGCAGAGGCUUCGCAAAAUGUCCGACGAAAAGACAGAGGCCGCCAAGGCGGAGGUGCACCGCCUCAUGGAGGCUAAAUUCAUUGUGCCAGUGGCUUACCCCACGUGGCUCUCCAAUGUCGUAAUGGUGCAGAAAAAAAACGGGAAAUGGCGAAUGUGCAUAGAUUUCACCAGUCUCAAUAAGGCCUGCCCAAAGGACAAUUUCCCGUUGCCGCGGAUCGACAAAAUAGUCGAUAGCGCGGCCGGAUGCGAGGUCAUGUCUCUCCUCGACUGCUUCUCCGGCUAUCACCAGAUAUACAUGAAGGAGGAAGACAAGGCCAGCACCAGCUUUAUAACACCCUUCGGCACUUAUUGCUUCGUCAGAAUGCCGGAGGGUCUCAAGAAUGCCGGGUCCACCUUCUCCAGACUCACCAAAACAGUACUCGAAGGGCAGGUCGACAGAAAUAUAUUUACAUAUGUGGACGACAUCGUCGUCGCCAGCAAGAAUAAGGAGGACCAUCUCGCCGACCUGGCCGAGACAUUCGCGAACAUGCGAGAUGCACGACUCCGCCUAAACCCGGAAAAGUGCGUCUUCGGUGUUCGCCAGGGCAAGAUAUUGGGCUACCUGGUGUCACACCGCGGCAUCGAGGCCAACCCAACCAAGAUCCAGGCCAUCGUCGACAUGUCGCCUCCGCAGUCCGCCAGGGACGUCCAGCGUCUGACAGGCAGAUUGGCCGCUCUCAACAGAUUCAUCUCCAGGUCCGCCGAGCGAAGUCUCCCCUUCCUCAAAACACUCCGCAGUGCGAGAGACUUCGCCUGGGACCGGAGCAAGCAGCGGCCUUCGCCUCACUAAAACAGUACCUGUCGGAGCUGGCCAUCCUCACAAGCCCCGACUCCUCGCUCCCCCUAUUGCUCUACGUCGCAGCUUCGCCGCACGCGGUCAGCGCAGCACUAGUGCAGGAGCAGACAGUCGAGGGCGCAGUCAGACAGUGCCCUGUUUACUAUGUCUCCGAGGUCCUGACACCGUCCAAAUGCAACAUGACAGAGCUGGAGAAGAUCGCCUACGCAGUUGUCAUGUCCUCGCGCAAGCUGCGCCAUUACUUUGAAGCAUUCAAGGUCCGAGUCACCUCAGACAGGGGGCUCGGCGAACUAUUCAGAAACCCGGAGGCAUCGGUGAGGAUUGCUAAGUGGGCAGCCGAACUCUCCGGCUACCACAUCAGCUUCGAGCCCAGGACAGCCAUCAAGUCGCAAGUCCUGGCAGACUUUGUCGUCGACUGGACUGGGCCAGUUACACAGCCGGACCCGUCCACAGAGAAGGUCUGGACCAUCCAUUGCGACGGCGCAUGGUGCCAUGCGGGGGCAGGCGUCGCCGCAGUCGUCACCUCGCCAGCCGGAGUCAAACACAGAUAUGCAGCACGCUUCAACUUCGCUCUGGAAUCCGACAGAUGCACAAACAAUGUAGCAGAGUAUGAAGCGGUUAUCCUCGGCCUCCGCAAGCUAAGGGCCCUCGGAGUCACCACAUGUAUCAUCAAGACAGACUCCAAGAUAGUUGCCGGCCAGGUCGAGAAAGACUAUGCAGCAAAAGACCCCGCGCUCAUGCAAUACCUCGCGGCUAUCCGAAGUCUCGAGAGACAGUUCAAGGGAUUCACCUUGCAGCAUGUGGAUAGGGCCAAGAACGAGGAGGCCGAUGCAUUAGCCAAGGCCGCCGCUAGGGGCGAGCCCUUGCCCUCCGACGUGUUCUUUCACACCAUCGGCACGCGAGCCGUCCGGAGCCCCGAAGGGCUCCAAAUAACUAAUGAUAGCGAGGGCCACCACAUAGUCAACCUAAUCAUGACCGAAGACUGGCGGGCACCAAUAACCCUGUUCCUACAGGGGUACUAUCAUCCAACCGACGUCAGUGAGGCAAAGCGCCUCAGACAUCGAAGCCGGGACUUCGCACUGAUUGAGGGCCAAUUAUACAAGAAAGGGGUCAGUCAGCCAAUGCUUAAAUGCGUCACCGAAACCGAAGGCAUGCAGAUCCUACGCGAAGUCCACAGUGGCACGUGCGGCUCACACGCAGGGCCAAGGGCCCUGGCGGCCAAGGUGAUCCGACAAGGGUUUUACUAGCCUGCAAUGAUCUGCGCCGCAAAUCGAGUCACAAGGUCCUGCGAAGCCUGCCAGAAGUUCUCUCCUCGGUCAGGCAACCCCUCGCAAUAUACAAAGCUGAUUGCCCAUACAUGGCCUCUCCAGCGCUGGGGCCUGGACAUUGUCGGGCCCCUGCCCACCGCUCAGGGGAACCUUAAGUUCGCCUUCGUAGCCGUCGAAUACUUCACUAAAUGGAUUAAAGCGAGGGCUGUUUCCACAAUCACAUCAAAGACUACCCAAAAAUUCUUCUGGCAGAACAUUGUUUGCCGCUUCGGAGUACCGUCCGAGCUAACAGUUGACAACGGCAAGCAGUUCGACAGUCAAGAUUUCAAGGAUUUUUGUUUCUCCAUCGGCACCAAGCUUGCCUUCGCUUCAGUCUAUCAUCCGCAGUCCAACGGGGUCGUGGAGCGUGCCAACGGGAAAAUCUUCACAGCUGUCAAGAAGAUGCUCCUCGAUGAAAAAAAGGCAGAUGGACCGAUUUAUUACCGGAGGCAGUCUGGGCGCUAAAUACAACUGAGUGCAGGGCGACCGGGUUCACUCCUUUCCGCCUUCUAUACGGAUCGGAGGCAAUGACCCCGCAAGAAAUAAAGCAUGGGUCCCCGCGUACAGUUCCGUCAGCCGUCCCCGACGUGGACGAGCCAACUUCAAAAGAUCUCAUUGACGGAGACCGGGUCUUCGCCCUACAGGCCCUAAACAAAUACCAAGCCCAGACCAAAGCAUGGCGCGACCACACAGUCAUCCCGAGGGAGUUCAGCGAGGGGGACCUCGUACUCGUCCGAACAGCUCGGACGGAGUCCAAGGGCAAGUUGGAGCCCAAGUGGGAGGGCCCCUUCAUAGUCAAGACAAAAGCUUCCCCUAGCGCUUACAGGCUCACAACGCCAAACGGCGAGGACCUAGAGCACUCCUGGAACAUCGACAACCUUCGCAAAUUUUUUGUUUGACCCAUUUAGGGCUGAUUUCGCCCUUGUAAUUCGCCGCAAUCAAACUUAUACCGGCCCGCACUCUUUUCCUCCCGGGGGGUGAGGUUUUUAACGAGGCGGAGCCAUGUAAUAUAUGUGAGAAAAAUCCCCCGCAAAAAUAUGUGUCGAAAAAAGACCGCGACAACGGUCUUCGGCAUUCGACCAAUUCGAAGUCACCGCGAGGCUAAGCGCUAGCCACCCUCGCGUGCGACAAAUCCGCGCAGAAGUCGCCUAAGGGUGCAGCCGGACUAAGCACAACAAGUGCGAAAAAAUCCGAUGUCUAUCGCGAAGACUAUCCGCGCAGAAGUCGCCUAAGGGUGCAGCCGGACUAAGCACAACAAGUGCGAAAAAAUCCGAUGUCUAUCGCGAAGACUAUCCGCGCAGAAGUCGCCUAAGGGUGCAGCCGGACUAAGCACAACAAGUGCGAAAAAAUCCGAUGUCUAUCGCGAAGACUAUCCGCGCAGAAGUCGCCUAAGGGUGCAGCCGGACUAAGCACAACAAGUGCGAAAAAAUCCGACGUCUAUCGCAAAGACUAUCCGCGCAGAAGUCGCCUAAGGGUGCAGCCGGACUAGCACAACAAGUGCGAAAAAGCCCGAAGUCUAUCGCAAAGACUCCGCGCAGAAGCCGCCUAAGGGCGCAGCCGAACUAGUACAACAAAAGCAGAAACGACAGCAUCAAACCAUCCGCGCCAAGACCGACUAUAAUCACACCAGCACAGCAUAACCAACCAUACCAGACAAAGUACACAGCGCCCUCGCAGGCACAGGCAUGCGAGGGCACACAACUUCAUCUUACAAGCCCUUACACAUAUACAAGCGAGGGCACCACGCUCUACAUCGGCUCAACCUUAGGAAUAAUUCCCAUCUCCCUAUAAUUAAAUAACAUUAUCCUAAGCUCUUCACCCGCAAAAAGGCUUCGCAGUUCCCCUUCCCCUGUACCCACGGCGGCCGGCAAAGACAACAGCUCCUGCCGACCAACCCUACUCACGCGAAGUCGAGCCCCUUCCUCCGCAUUAACCCUACGCUUUGCAUCCGCCCUUCGUCGUCGGCGCCCGGUGCUAGGACCUGGCACGUCUGGCGCGUCCGCGGCGUGUGGCGAAGCCUCCGCCGCAGCCACAUCCAAGGCCACAAAAUAAUCCAAGUCCUCCUCCGACGACUCUUCAGUCCACUCAACCGAGCUCCCAGAAUCAGUAAAAUCAAAAAACUCAGAUGCAGACCCACCAUAUUCAUUCCCACCUUCCGCGGUCGAAGCCGCCAAAAACUCAGUAGUAGCGGUUGCGUGCGCAGGCCCAAAAUCUUGAACCUGCGCAGCAACCAAAAUUCAGCACAACAUCCAAAAAUUCCCCAACCCUAAACACCCACUACGCCACCUGCGAAGGCCCUGCCGCUGCGGGAGCCUCCGCCGUUGGCUCCGCCGCUGCUUCCGCCGCCACCGCCGCGGGAUCUUCAGCGCUCGGCACAGCAGCUGCGGGGGCAUCAGGCGCGCCUUCGGCCACCUUUGGGGGCAGGUCUUCGCCGGCCGUAGCAGAUGUGGGGGCGCCUGGCGCGUCUUCCGCAGUCUCCGGGGUUGGUUCCGGGGCGACUCCAGUCGCGGCCUCCGCAGGGGUCGGCUCCGGGUCAGGCAGCGCGCUGUUCAGUGCCCCGAAGUCGUCCACCCGCUCGCCACGCUCCGCCUAAGACAAAACACACAAAAAUUCAGCAAACACACGCACAGACCACAUCCAGCAAACGCCGAACAAACGACAACGUUACCUGAGCCCUCGCAGCCUCGGCCCGCUCCCUGACCACCUCACGACCGUACAGACCCCACAUCCGGUCAUAGAGGGCCCCGGCGGAUUCCUUCACCACGGGGUCUUCGACCUCAUAGAUAUCUCGCCCAAAAUCUUCAUCUGCCUGGUCGAAGGCCUCAAAGUGCCGGCACCCUUCGCGAGAGAGUGCGUUCACCGCCCCCUCGCAGGUGACCAGGGAGGUGAACGACAUUAACCCCCCCAAGACAGUGGGGAGCUCCUGCAGCUCCUCCUACACCCAUUCCAGACAGCGAAGCUCGGGCUCUCGCUCCGGCACCUCGAAGUCACUGGUCCGCGCACCCAGCUCGCGAUAUGUAGCCAUAAGCUGUGUGCGCGUCCGUUCGGCCUCCGCUCGCGUCGCGGCCUCGGCCCCCUUCGCGCGGCUCUCCAGGGCAGUAAGCCGCUCCUGCAGCUGACCGGCGAGCUCCUUGGCAAUAUUGCCUUCCGCCCGCGCCAGCUUGGCCUCCGCCUGCGCAACCUGCUCUUUGGCGAUGGCUUCGUUGGCCUCCCUCCUCUCCCCCGCCAGCUGGCGCCGGAGGUCAGCCUUCUCCUUCUCCAGGGCGGCCACCCUGUCCGCCAGUUUACGACACUUGCUGUCGGAGGCCAAUUUCUCACGGACAGCGUCAGCAUGUUGCGUCCGAAGUCUCUCGACUUCGGCAGACAAAGCUGCCGUAAGGGCCCCCGACGCAGUACGGCUGGUGAAGUCAGCCACCUGCAGAGCACACGUAAGGCCAUUGCCGUAAAAAAAAGGGGGGGGGGGAAGAGUAUAGCUCAGCGGACCUGACUCAGCGCCUCCGUCGCUUGACUCAGCGCCUCCGUCACUCCCUUCAGCCGGCGGGUCGCCACUCCCGCCUCGUCCCUGACCAGCGCGAGGGCCGACACCUCGCCUCCGGCGCCAAGCGCCUCGCCCCACGUCUUCGGCACUUUGGCGGCCGUCGCGAUCGCCGCGCCAGGCGCAACUAUAGCGAGCUGGCCCUCGUCCGGCCCUGCAACGCGUCAACAAAUUAAAAAAAAAAUUAAUAGGCCAGCGACUUACCACCAAGAUAGUCGUCCACAGUAAUAUCGGUGCCGAAGUCGGCAACACGUUUGCCCGCCAACGGCAGCGCUCGGGCCGCCUUCGAAGCCUCCGCCACUCCGCUGGCCGGCGGCACCACCUUCGUUGACUUGGAGCCUCCGGCGCCCGCCGUCGCCUCCGGCGCCUUGCUAGGUGCAGAGGCGCCCGUCUUCGCCGCCAGCGGUGGCUUGCCUCCGCCGGAGGCCGCAGCCUUCGCAGUUCCCCGCUGCCUUUUCGGCCGAGCUUCGUGAAUCCUGACAGUCGCCUGGCGCUUUUGCGCUGCCCCUUGGCGAUCUUUGUCCAUCACUGCCGACACAACAGCAGCAAUAUUGUGCCCGUAAGGAAAAACUCUCCAUUGACGAACCAUGCGAGAUGUAAAACAGUCCUCGUCAGCCGCGCUGGGAAUAGGAACAUUCCUAGGCCAACAACCCCCGGUAACCCUCAGCAUCCGAGCCGAAGACUCCCGGAGCUCGGGCGAAGACAUCCUUUCCCCCGGGGCCACACACGUCCUCAUUAACUCUCUAGCAAAGCUAUCAGAAACCCCAAGUCCUCCCAUCGCAGUACCUAAUUUUCUCUUUUUUGAGGAAGGGGCGGCCACCAGCGCAGGGUCGCCUCCAGUCUCCACCGCCGGUUUCUUCCCACGGCGGUCCGCUUCGUCUUGACCAGGAUAGCCGUCGUACGGCAAUUGAUUUAAUUCGAAGACCCUGUUCAAACGGUCAUUUGACCCGCGGAUAUCAAAGCUGCGCUGGCCUUCCGUCCUCGGCACGUAACGCCCCACGAGCCGCACCGCCUCGUCCUCCGCAUCGCGCACAAAGGCGGCCGGGUCGCGGUUUCGUAGAUUUAGUGCGAAGGCAGGGCUUCGCACCACCCUCCCUCCGUGAAAAGGCAUCUGGCGAGGGCACACUUCGCCCAGCGCCCAGCCGUGCGCCAAGGGCCACACCCCGUACGCCACAAACUCUUCAACUAAAUCACGCCCACUGCUCUGACCGGCGGCGCACCGAAGGGCCCCUUCGUCUGCAUCUUCCUCCGCCACUUCAAAGGGCGGAUACGCAGAGUAAUAAUGAGAGCACAACUCAGACACGGGGAGUCCCUCAUGGUCUUCGACAGUACCCUCCGCAACGUAAAACCAAAAUUCAUUCCAAUUGCCCCACUUGUUGCGGGCGCACGGAACCAACUCCACUACUGGCAUUGUGGUCUUGCCGGUCUUCGGCGUGAAUGUGCAUGACCCGAACCGGGCAAUUCCGUCCCCAACCACCCUCUUCUGCCAAUGCAAACAAUAAUUCUUCGCAAAAACUUCAACCGGAGGCUGUCCGCCGUACGAAGUCGUCGCCCAGACAUACUUCGCCAGCGCCACCAUGGCAUUCGGUGUCAGCUGAUGUAUUUGAACACUGAAUCUACGCAGGACUUCGCCAACAAACCGGUGCGCAGGCAAGCGGAGACCGGCGGCGAAGAACGCCUCGAAAACAACCAACUCACCCUCCGGCUCGGGGACUUCCUCCGUCCCUGGAGCACGAGCAACUCCGCCGCCAAAGUAGCCCAACCGCUGCAUAUCUUCAACGCGGGCUGGCGUCAUCCGUGACACACCAAAAUCAACAGAGUCGCCGGCGCGCAACUCUUCCACCAUCACGCUACUCAACGUCUCCUCUGACGAGGCGGCGGCCGGCGGCGUGGUGUCGGCGGAAGAAGAAGAGGACGGCAUUGCUACGUACCGUCGGCGGCGGCGGGCGGUCUGCUUCACUCGAGCCAGAACUCCGGCGAGCAAAAGGAGCAGCGGAAGAAGAGGAACAGCAAGACGGCGGGUGGCUAGGGUUUUCACGGAGCGCGGAAGGCAAAGUUUAAACAGCGCCAACCCCCGCCCCCUUUUAUAGGCAGGGCGCGGCUCUUCGGGAAACCCGCAAUCCGAUAGGGCGCGACGCUUCGGGAAACCCGCAAUCCAACAGUACGCCGUCCAUCAACGGUCACAUCAAAAACCCCCGCGGAACCACUUCGAGCGAGGGCAGCGUCUCCGCCAUCUAGCGACGUCUUCGGCACCAGGUGACUUUGUCGAACUGGUCCCUCGGAGGGCAAAUGUUGGGGCGAAGGCAAAGACGCCACCCUUCGCUCGAGGCCUUCGCCGCAGUCGCUGGUCUGACAGAGACAAAACGGGCAGGGACACCCUUCGCUCCAUUCGGCACCAGACGAAGGCCUGCGGCGACGCCUUCCCGCGGCGCGACCUCGUUCAGUUCUGAGGCCCACGUGUGAUCUGGCCCAUUGUAACGGGCCCUGCGUGGCCGCCUUUGUGUUACGGGCCUAAUUUGUAAAGGCAUGCUUGUAAUUACAGCUUGUAACCCUGCUUUAUGGGAAUAUUCUGGGGAUAAACUAGGUGUCUGAGGGCACAUGCGUCCUUAACACGAGGCGCUGGGCACUCAGAUACCUAUAAAUACCCCCGCACAGUGCCCGUGAGAGGCUGGAUUAACAGAGCUAUUGCCCCCGAGCACGUAACCCUGUUGUUACCAUUGUUCACCCUUGUUGGCCUCCUUGCUGCUGAGAGCAAGUUCCAACAGUGCAACAGUAAACAUUUGACUCUGUAGGAAAAAAAAUAAUGUAGACUACAUAGUAAAGUAGAAACUUCCCACCUUUUCUUUUCUUCUUCUAGCCUUUGCGUAUCAAUAGCAUUCUUAUUCUCUUCCAACCCAAGGUGGGAACUUUGAGAUGCAGUAACUGGAAACUUAAUGACACUCGGACUACUCUUUCUUCUGUAACGCUUCCGUGAUGGAGGUGGACUAUUGUGCCUCCUAGGACAUGGAGAACAGCUCUCACGCCUUCUCGGGGAAGGCAAAGGGCUCCUCCUUCUGCAAGACAAAGAUGAGCACUGUAAGGAUAAAAUUAGGAUCAUCACAACAAUAGACAAGGAAUUACCAUUAUCUCUUGAAGCCCUAAAACAUGGGCAAAAGCAGUUACCUUAGACACUGUUACAGGGGUAGAGCAUUCCACAACAAUACAGCACAGUGUAAAAGCUUUGUAGAUUCCAUGCGUUUUACGAAAACAACUCUUGUUAGUCUCUAUAGGCAGGUAAUGCAAAACAUGGCAUAACUAUAUCUAAGCUUCAUCUGCUGAUAUAUUCCAUGCUGCAUCGAAGCAUUUUUAUUUUAACUCCGAUUGUUUAAACACUUUGUUUAAACAUUUUUAUUUUGUACGAGCAAAGAAGAGAAGAAAGGCUCAAUCUUGUACAAUCUUGUAAAACCUCUGAUUGAUGAAGGUAUUGCCACCGAGCUGUUGUAAGUUGGGGAGAAUCGAUGCCUAUCUGCCAAAACCAUGGUGGUUGGUGCUUAGUUCAUGGCCUGGGCUGUCACAUUGAGGGCACUGACAAUUAGGUCUACAAUGGGUUAUGGAACACUGAUUUUACAUUUGAAAUUUGUAG